GGAGGGGCGGCUCAGCGGUGGAGCGCGUGCCUAGCAUGCACGAGGUCCUGGGUUCAAUCCCCAGUGCCUCUG
rnacentral:tRNA from 1 species